UCCUCGCUGACUCCCUCGCCUGUCACAUCUGCUGGGAAGCUCGGUCUAGCUCACUGUUUCAGCCAUGCUGCCGGUCCCAGCACUGCUUCUGGUUUUCCUGGCUCCUGUCACACAGGUAUCUUCCAACAUGGAAGAGGACAAGUUGUCAGUCAUGAGGGCUACUGGGUCAUCUGUUGUAAUCGAUUGUGAUCUUACGCACAACUAUAUCCACUGGUACAAAUUCCAGGAGGGAGCUGUACCCCGACGCCUUCUCUACUACGAUGUCUACAACUCAAAGGUUGUGUUGGAACCAGGAACCAGCCAAGGGAAAUACCACGUUUACAAAGGCACAGGGAAGGGCUACACAAUUGUAAUCUCAAACUUGCAAGAAAGUGAUUCUGGCACGUACUACUGUGCCUUCUGGGAGAAGCACAUUGGUUUAGACUUCCUUUACUCUGCACUGGAAAUUUUGCUUGUGGCUGCCAGAACAGCCGUGAUACACAGGCGACACCAACGCCUGUCUCACUUCCUGACCCCAGUUCUUUUUACUCUGAAUGAAGAGAAAUCCUGAGCUCAACGCCCAGCCCCAGUCACUGCCACCUCAACAGCCUCCUCUCAAUAGCCAUUGUUUGUUAUGGUCAAAGAUUUUUCCUAAAAGCGGGUCUCCAUCUUAAGGCCCUAGGCAAGCAGCUGGUAGGCAGCACAUUCUUUUAACUUCCCUAGGAGCUGGUGGAGUCUAUUCAACCUUCUCUUGAGAACAGACAGGGCAUCUUGGAUUGAUCUAUUAAGGGGAAUAUUUAGGAGAACAAAAUGAAAGGUUAUUUUUAUUGAAUCAUUUAUCUGAUCAUUUUCCAGAGAAGGUAGCUAGGAAUGAAGCAUCUUUAUUAUUCAGGAUUAUGAAAUAUGAGCAAAGAUGGAGUGAAAACUUGGAUUCCUGAAGCCCAAGUUGGUAUCUGACCUAUCUUUUAGACAAAUUGAUAUUUUUCUCAUAUAACCAACCAGGGCAUGGAAUGUAGGAAAAGGGGGAUUGGUAUAGUUAUGCCAAUCAUAGUAUUCUACUUACACCUUCUGUUGAAGUUCAGUCCACAGCCAGAACUAUUCUGUGUUAAACAAGUAAAGCCAGAAGUUCUUUUCACUCCCACCCCAAAUAUUGACAUGACCAAGUUUCAAACUGGAAUGAGACUUAGACAUUUUUUUUCAAUAAUUCAAGUGUAAAGAACACUUCGGGUGAACAAUUAGACAAUGAGUGGUAUCUACAUCAACAGAAAAGUCUUGUAAGAAAGGGUGUGACUUUCUCAUUGGGCUAGGUUUAAUGACAUAAAAUUAAUACUGAAGUACAGAAAUGCCAUAUUCAUAUGUAUGUGGUCUCUUGUGUAUGCGUGUGGGCUAAGUUGCUUCAGUUGUGUCUGAUUCUGUGAGAUCCUAUGGACUGUAGCCUGCCAGGGGUAGUCUGUACUGUCCAUUGGGUUUUCCAGGCAAGAAUACUGGACUGGGUUGCAUGCCCUCCUCUAUGGGAUCUUUCCAACCCACGGAUUGAACCCGGGUUUCCUGCAUCUUCUGCAUUACAGGCAGAUUCUUCACCACUGAGUCACCAGGGGAGCCCCUCUUGUAUAU